GAUGAACGCUGGCGGCGUGCCUAACACAUGCAAGUCGAGCGAAUGGAUUAAGAGCUUGCUCUUAUGAAGUUAGCGGCGGACGGGUGAGUAACACGUGGGUAACCUGCCCAUAAGACUGGGAUAACUACGGGAAACCGGGGCUAAUACCGGAUAAUAUUUUGAACUGCAUGGUUCAAAAUUGAAAGGCGGAUUCGGCUGUCACUUAUGGAUGGACCCGGGUCGCAUUAGCUAGUUGGUGAGGUAACGGCUCACCAAGGCAACGAUGCGUAGCCGACCUGAGAGGGUGAUCGGCCACACUGGGACUGAGACACGGCCCAGACUCCUACGGGAGGCAGCAGUAGGGAAUCUUCCGCAAUGGACGAAAGUCUGACGGAGCAACGCCGCGUGAGUGAUGAAGGCUUUCGGGUCGUAAAACUCUGUUGUUAGGGAAGAACAAGUGCUAGUUGAAUAAGCUGGCACCUUGACGGUACCUAACCAGAAAGCCACGGCUAACUACGUGCCAGCCGCCGCCGUAA
rnacentral:rRNA from 1 species